GCAACAAUAAUCUUCUAAAAGAAAUAAUCAGGUCUUCUGUCAAUCAGCACUUUGGAGGACAACGUACAGCACCACAGCGCAGAAAGUGGAGGAAAAUUAUGUUCCCUCUCUCCAUCCAUUCUGUUUCCAUCCAUCCAUCUGUCCAACCAUCCAAGCGACCAACCAACCAACCAACCUGGUUCCCUUUAUCCUGGUUUUCUUCAUCCAUUCAUCCUGGUUCCACAUGCAAAUCUUGGAACCUUAAAGUGUUUUUUGUUAAAUAAAUCUAUGUUAAGCUAAAGUUUCAACAAAAUGCUGGAGUACGCUGAUUUCAUGGAACUAGCUUCAGCCAAUAAAGUCACGUUUUUAAGGCACACCACAAUACCCAGAGCUGUUUUCUCCAAAUAGGACCAGCUGCCACAUCAGAGAAGGUCAAGUUACCGAGUGACCAGAAUGAAAAGAUCUUCUCCUUGAGUUUCCUGAGAACAGCUCCAACAAUAUGUCACUCCUUCAGAAGUGGAUGUCAAUGUGAA